GCGGGAGAGCUAUGAAACAUGCCGG
rnacentral:piRNA from 1 species